rnacentral:rRNA from 1 species
UACGUAGGGAGCAAGCGUUGUUCGGAUUUACUGGGCGUAAAGGGCGCGUAGGCGGCGCGGUAAGUCACUUGUGAAAUCUCUGAGCUUAACUCAGAACGGCCAAGUGAUACUGCAGUGCUAGAGUGCAGAAAGGGCAAUCGGAAUUCUUGGUGUAGCGGUGAAAUGCGUAGAUAUCUGGAGGAACACCUGUGGCGAAGGCGGCUAUCUGGUCCAAUUCUGACGCUGAGGCGCGAAAGGUAGGGGAGCAAACAGG